AUCCGGGAUUUACUCUCCAGUAUGAGGUACACAUACGCCAGUCCUGUCUAGGUUUGGUGGUGUACCAAGGACAAUCUGAAAUCCGAUGUACAUGGAAGUGUGUGUAAAUAAGACUUCCUCAUAAAACAUCUCCAGGAGUUGAUCACAGAGUGAUUGAUUGUGGUUCAAUGUGUUCUUGCUUCUGUCGCGAUUUCCUGUUACAUGAGCACACUUGGGGUACAGCAUCAUGUCCCCACGUGGUAAAAGCUCCGAUUGUCAUUGCAAUGGUUGGACUUCCAGCACGAGGCAAGACGUAUAUGUCAAAAAAACUCACCCGAUAUCUCAACUGGAUUGGCAUUCGCACUAGAGUGUUCAAUGUUGGGGAGUACAGACGUGCUGCUACAGAUAAAUAUAGAAGUCAUGAUUUCUUCCGGUCAGACAACAAGGAGGCCCUAGAAAUACGACAGAAAUGUGCUAUGAUGGCUAUGGAUGAUGCUACUAAAUUCCUGAAGAGCGGAGGAGGAGAAGUUGCGGUUCUGGACGCGACAAACACAACUCGAUCCAGACGGAAGCUGCUUGUAGAUAUGAUACAUCGUGAAAACAAAUUCAAACUGUUCUUCGUGGAAUCUAUAUGUGAAGACCCUGCCAUCAUAGAAGCUAAUAUCUUAGAGGUCAAAGUGUGUAGCCCGGAUUAUGACGGUAUGGACCAGACAGAGGCUAUAGCAGACUUCCUACAGAGGAUCCAACACUACAACGAGACAUACGAACCACUCUGUCACAAACACGACAAGGAUCUCUCUUUUAUCCAGAUAUUUAAUCAAGGCGAGCGCUUCCAUGUCAACAAAUUAGCAGGACAUUUACAGAGUAGAGUGGUGUAUUACUUAAUGAAUAUUCAUGUGCUUCCCAGAACUAUAUAUUUGACUCGGCAUGGCGAGAGCCUGAUGAACCUUGGUGGUAGGAUUGGCGGAGACAGCGACUUGUCUGACCGCGGUUAUGAGUAUGCUGAUGCUCUGGCUAAAUAUGUUGAGGAGGAAAAGAUUCCCAAUCUAAAAGUGUGGACCAGUGAGUUGAAGCGUACAAAGCAAACAGGCAAAUUUCUAACGGCCCCGAUCGAGCACUGGAAGGCCCUCAAUGAAAUUGAUGCCGGUAUUUGUGAAGGAAUGACGUAUGAAGAAAUCCAAGAGAAAUACCCAGAGGAGUUUGCCAUGCGAGAUCAAGACAAAUUUCACUACCGGUAUCCAAGUGGAGAGUCGUAUCAAGACCUUGUGGCUAGGCUAGAACCUGUGAUAAUGGAGCUAGAACGACAGGAGAAUGUUUUGGUGAUCUGCCACCAGGCUGUUGCACGUUGUCUGCUCGCUUACUUCCAAGAUAAAACCUCAGAGGAAAUCCCCUAUGUUCCUGUCCCCCAAGAGGCUGUCGUGAAAAUGCACAUGACUGGAGACGGCUGUGAAUGUGAAAAUAAUCUGCUGCUAAGCCGACCUCGCGUAUCUGAAGGUCCCACUCCACACUGUCAUCAAACUAACACCGGUGGCUUAUGGCUGUAAGAUUGAGUUUGUUGCCCUCAAUGUAGAAGCAGUCAACACCCACAGAGAGCGUCCCCAGUGCACACUGCCCCAGAGGAGUAGAGAUGAAGCCCUUCAGACUGUACCGGCCCACUUUUGACCAGUGACAAGGAUGUACAAGAGGGAACUAUCUCAAAUUAUAUGUGAUCAAGAUCUUCAGCCAUCAGUGUUUGUUUUGUUACUCUGGAUUGUCACAAUUUGUUGAGGUUGUUUGUGUCCCUAGUGAUGUGUUCCUCUAUUUGUAAAAAGAUGAACACAAACAAGCAAGUAAUACAGUCAAAUUUAUUCUGCAGCAGUAGUCUUCUAGAUUGGAAUUUAACUAAGUAAAGGUUUGGUCCUUUGUUUAGAUAUAUCAUUUAAUAUUAUGAUAAAUGAAGCAAAAAUCUUGACAGCAUCAGCUGACAUUUGAUUCUAUGCUAUGUGCAGACAUCUGAUACUAUUAAUUGUGUGUGGAUAUUUGAAAAUGUUGAGUCUUAUAAACAUUAUAAUGGAAGGGAGAUAACUCUUAUAACACCAAAGAGGAAGGGAGAUAACUCCUAUAAACGCUAAAGAAGAAGAGCGAUAGCUCUUAUAAAUAAAUACUAUAGAGGAAGAGAUAUUACUCAUUUAUAAACGCUAUAGAGAAAGGGAGAUAACUCAUACUAACAGAGGAUAAUUUUCUUUGUCUGUAGUGGUAUUAGGUGUAUACACACUGCCUGUUGAAGCAACUUAUAUUUGUAAGGCUCAAGUCCAGUUUAGUUUUGAUUCAAUUAGGAUUUUGGGCCAUCAACACCAAUUUUUUAACUAAAAAUCUACAUUUCACAUCAAACUACAUGAGGAAAUGCAAUAGGUUUAUAUUCCGGUUUAGAUUCCAAGGGCACUAGUGUUACUAAAUUGUUCUUUUAAUCAUAAAACUGUCAUCUAAUUUAGUGUUAUUACUUAAAACAUCAAGAUCAUUUUAACUCUUCUCCAAAUGAAACACAUUUUACACAGCUGUUAAAACUUAAUCAAACAACUAUAAUAAUGUAUGGCCAUUUUAAGAAGUCUAGAGAUGGGGAACUCAUUUCCUUUGCUUUGUACAGCUGUCUGCCUACCUUUGAAAUUCUAUCAGAUUCACACUCUAUUCUAAAAUUUGAGAUAAUUCCCAAAAACUUCCAAGGAAACUGGAAAGGGCAGCCAACAUGAAACCUUGAUACCCAAUAUAUAUUUGUAUAGAUGUAUUUCUGAAUUUUCAAAUUUUAUUUUAUUUUGUGUGAUGUGUGUUUAAGAUACAGUGACACUUAAUCAGUCGGAUGUCUUUUCAUUCACAGUAAGAAAUCUCCAUGUGUGAUCUUUUUGAAAUUAUGGAAAACACAAUGAUUUGGAGAGACUGAAGUGUCACUGUACCUUAUUGUGUAUAAACAUAUUUUAUAUGAAAUCCAAUAUUAUUUAAAACCUUAUAUUUUGUAAACAUUUAGAAAAUCAAGUUUAUAUAUUAAAUAUAUUGUAUAUACAGAAAUUCAUUUUUUGUUGAAAAAAAUAUAUUAUUUAAUUCUUUGCGUUGCUCAAAUCCAUUUUUAAGCAGAAAUGAUUAUAUGAAUCUUGUAACCUGUAUACUCUGUAUAUAUGUAGACUUAUUUGAAUAAAGUGUUUGUCUUACAAUGAAACGAUAAUUUUGAGAGACAAUGGUAUAUAGAUGAUUAAGGAAAGAAGUGAGAGUGUUGACAGAGUAUGUAGGGUGUAAAGGGGAGAAUGUGUGAGGGUCGGACACAAAUACAAAACAUUAGGAUGUUUUGACAGUAUGUUGAACAAGCUCUUAAUGUACAAAAUUUAGUUUCUCUCCAUCCAGUGUUCCCUAAUUUAAUUCUGGGAGAAAAUUUUGUAAUAUUUAAUGAUGUGCCAUAACAGGGAGAUGCUGUAAUAUCCUGUGUAACGUAUUGACAUGUCAUUAGAGGUACUGUAAUAUCCUGUGUAACUUAUUGACAUGUCAUUAGAGGUAUAUACUGUAUUAUCCUGUGUAACUUAUUGACACGUCAUUAGAGGUACUGUAAUACCCUGUGUAACUUAUUGACAUGUCAUUAGAGGUACUGUAAUAUCCUGUGUAACUUAUUGACAUGUCAUUAGAGGUACUGUAAUAUCCUGUGUAACUUAUUGACAUGUCAUUAGAGGUAUAUUCUGUAAUAUCCUGUGUAACUUAUUGACAUGUCAUUACUGGUACUGUAAUAUCCUGUGUAACUUAUUGACAUGUCAUUAGAGGUACUGUAAUAUCCUGUGUAACUUAUUGACAUGUCAUUAGAGGUACUGUAAUAUCCUGUGUAACUUAUUGACAUGUCAUUAGAGGUACUGUAAUAUCCUGUGUAACUUAUUGACAUGUCAUUAGAGGUACUGUAAUAUCCUGUGUAACUUAUUGACACGUCAUUAGAGGUACUGUAAUAUCGUGUGUAACUUAUUGACAUGUCAUUAGAGGUACUGUAAUAUCGUGUGUAACUUAUUGACAUGUCAUUAGAGGUACUGUACUAUCCUGUGUAACCUAUUGACAUGUCAUUAGAGGUAUAUUGACAUGUCAUUAGAGGUACUGUAAUAUCCUGUGUAACUUAUUGACAUGUCAUUAGAGGUACUGUAAUAUCCGGUGUAACUUAUUGACAUGUCAUUAGAGGUACUGUAAUUUCCUGUGUAACUUAUUGACAUGUCAUUAGAGGUAUAUACUGUAAUAUCCUGUGUAACUUAUUGACAUGUCAUUAGAGGUACUGUAAUACCCUGUGUAACUUAUUGACAUGUCAUUAGAGGUACUGUAAUAUCGUGUGUAACUUAUUGACAUGUCAUUAGAGGUACUGUGAUACCCUGUGUAACUUAUUGACAUGUCAUUAGAGGUACUGUAAUACCCUGUGUAACUUAUUGACAUGUCAUUAGAGGUAUAUACUGUAAUAUCCGGUGUAACUUAUUGACAUGUCAUUAGAGGUACUGUAAUAUCCUGUGUAACUUAUUGACAUGUCAUUAGAGGUACUGUAAUAUCCUGUGUAGCUUAUGGAUAUUUCUAAACAUUUUCUUCAGGUUGAAAAAGUAUUAUUUUUGUAAGGAUUUCAUUCCACAACUAAUUGAUUUUGUCAACAUAACAGUGUACAUACCGUACUGGUCCUUGGUCUGAUGAAGGUGACAGUGUACAUACCGUACUAGUCCUUGAAACGUCAUG